rnacentral:Y_RNA from 1 species
GGCUAGUCUGAAGGUAGUGGGCUAUCUCCCUCGAUGGUUCACAGUCAAAGAUUGAAUUCCUUGCUCUACUUUUCCCCACUUCUCGCUACUGCACUUGACUAGUCUUAA